rnacentral:rRNA from 1 species
AUUGAACGCUGGCGGCAGGCCUAACACAUGCAAGUCGAGCGGAUGAAGGGAGCUUGCUCCUGGAUUCAGCGGCGGACGGGUGAGUAAUGCCUAGGAAUCUGCCUGGUAGUGGGGGAUAACGUCCGGAAACGGGCGCUAAUACCGCAUACGUCCUGAGGGAGAAAGUGGGGGAUCUUCGGACCUCACGCUAUCAGAUGAGCCUAGGUCGGAUUAGCUAGUUGGUGGGGUAAAGGCCUACCAAGGCGACGAUCCGUAACUGGUCUGAGAGGAUGAUCAGUCACACUAGAACUGAGACACGGUCCAGACUCCUACGGGAGGCAGCAGUCGGGAAUAUUGGACAAUGGGCGAAAGCCUGAUCCAGCCGUGCCGCGUGUGUGAAGAAGGUCUUCGGAUUGUAAAGCACUUUAAGUUGGGAGGAAGGGCAGUAAGUUAAUACCUUGCUGUUUUGACGUUACCAACAGAAUAAGCACCGGCUAACUUCGUG